UCAGCAGCGCAUUGGUCAAGCUGGGUGAUUGACACGUGUAAAGAACCGUCAGAGCCAGUAGAAUCGUCGGACAGCGCCAAAAUCCCUCCCAGGGACACCAUUCGCUAUCUGUGACAGAGCGAACCCUCUGUGGCCGUUUUCCCCCAACACCAUUUGACAUGCGACUUCCGCCUGCGUAGUCUAGAGGACGGACCAGGCGGAUUAACAUCUUGAAAUGACGAGCGUUCUUUGUGCUAAGCUAACGGAAGCGGAUUUAUGGAUCAAAACACAACUUUUCCCGCGACUACUCCGACGGGAAUUUCAUGGACCUUGGAUUUUGGAGCUUUUAGCUUUCUUCUACCUCAAGUGGGUCGGGACGUUUCUUUGGACUCGCGGUUGGAGUGUUACACAUCACAGACACCAGCUGCAAGGAAAACCAACAACACACAACUGCUCACGCGAACGUCCUCGGUUUUUCCCUCGUGGAUGCACCCUCAGGGAGGUCAGAGCGAAGGGUCGGAGCAGCGCACAUGAAGACGGUGGAAGCGGAGAUGCAUCGGCCAUCUUUUCAUGCAGUCAAUAUGGACUUUAUCUGUCUGUCUGCCUCCGUCUGAGCCUGAGGGCCAGGUCACGCUCACCUUGGACCCACAUUCAACGUGAAAGAGCAGCGUUUCUGUUGAAGCCUCCGACACAUACAUGUUGUGCAAGCAUGGACGUGCUCGUGCCCAAUCACGUAAAUGCACUGAAUGGAACAACUAUCAAAAUCCCCUGCACAUUCACUUCCUGCUACAAGAUGGAUGUGACCAAGUUUUCCAUGAACUGGACCUACCAAGAAACACUCAACGACACACAGGAAAUGUUUAUGGCUUUCUAUAAGAAAAAAGGAAUACUGCCCCUGCGUUCAAACAGCGCAUCAAACAGGUUUGGAGAGCGGGUCAUGUUUGCUGGGAACAUGGAUAAGAAUGACAUGUCAAUCACCCUAUCAGAUGUCCAGAUGGGGGAUGUGGGGUACUACAACUGCUAUGUGAUAAAUCCCCCCGACCGCAUCCACGGACAUGGUGUCAUACAGCUCGAUGUUGUCACUGAACUUCCCGCUCCAAGAGACUCGACCAUUGCAGUGGCUAUCGGGGCGUCGGUGGGCGGAGCAUUGGCUCUGCUGAUCCUUUCCAUGGUCGUGUUGAAGUGCCUCCGUCGGCACCAGAAGCAGGAACUGAUUUCGGAGGAGAAGAUGGAGGAGGAGGGGAAACUUGAGGCAGAGGGUGUUGCAGAGGAGGGAACCAAACAUCCAUAGCUGGGUCACCUGCAUGAACCUGCUGACUGUAGAGCUCUCCCCCCGACACCUCCUCUGACAUGCUCUCCCUUCCUGAAGAUCUAUAGUAACCACUGCUUGAGUCAUUGUCCAGUGUGUGUGUUUGUGUGUGUGUGUGAGAGAGAGAGUGUUUUUGUCUUUGAAAACAGCAAGGGAACACUUUUCUUCAACUUAACUGCGAAACACAUAUUACUUUAUUCAUAGCUACAAGUCAACAUCUAUGUGUCAUGAUAACCAAUUGUAUGUUCAUAGCACACUAUAUGACAGGAUGGGGCUGGCCGGCAUGACCUGAAAUUAUGUAAUCGUAUAAAUUUCACCAAAUCACACCAUCAUAUUCUGGCUCUCAUGAUUUUAUAGGAUGCGAUCUCAUAUUCAGCCCAGGGCUUUUGGACAAAAACUGUUCACUGCCUGAAAUUAAUUUUUAAUUAACUAUUAAUAAUUUCAAAGUGGUUGAGUUUAAUUUGUGAUGGAAGUUAAAAGCCUCUCACACUGCAGAGCAGAUGUAGUGUGUGUGUGUGUGUGUGUGUGUGUGUGUGUGUGUGUGCGCGUAUGUGUGUGCGUGUGUGCUUGUGAUGGGAAUCCGUGAGGUUUGCUCCACUGUCUCACAGCAGCCGCAGUGAAGAUUUGGGAUUUUGUUUCGGGGAGAAGUGUUUUAGUCCAACGUACUGUGAAUUCAUUGCCUUAAAGCCAGGUCUCUCAACUUUGUGUAUGGGUUCCAUGUCUUAAUAUAGAUGCAGAUAGUAUGUCAUUCCGUUUUGCCUAAUGAUGUCUACAUGUCUCAAUGGCGUCAGCUUGUGUCUGAGCCAGAGAGCAUUCGCAAACAUUCCUCAAACAGUUGGAGGUUUUUUCUAGCAAAAAAACUGUCGCCCUGCAUAGUGAUUCGUCAUAAAAGGAAAAGCAAAGGCACAAACACAUAAUCUGCUUAUUACAUCAACGCCUGCUCUGUUCUAUCAAAGUGUGCCACCAAAUCAUGACACUAGUUGUGUCCAACAUCACUGCCAAUUUUCAACACUGCACUAUAUUGACCCCUUUUUCUGACUGGUUGGGUUUUUAAUAAACACUUUAAAUGGAUUUUUAUAAAAUUACAAUAAAAAAUAGUGAUGGUGAUAAUAACAGUCAAAUCCCCAUCUCUUUCCCCUGUGCCCCCCAUCCCUCCAAAUAAACCAUAUCAUUUAUUGACCAUAUAUUUAUAGUUACAUUCAUUUUAUAUUGCAUGUGUUCUAAUUGAGGAGUGAUGAGCUAUUCUCUCUUUAUAGGAGCUCUUUCCCCCAUUGAAAUUACACACAAAUUCAUAUACAUUUGUGAAUCUUUGUGGAGCUGACAAAUAGUCUAAAAAAAUUCUUCAUAAACAAGAUUGGUGUCUUAUUUUGAAAAAGUUAACUUCAUCAGUGGUAACACAAAAAUUUGAAUUUAAUUUUUAUAAGUGACUAAAAUGAACAAGGUGAUUAAUUCAAACGUAGCCAGUGUGACUGAGCCAGAAUGGUCAAUACCGUCGCCCAGAGCCCGAAGCAGCUUAAUGGAAUUUAGCCAGUAUUCAUUUCAAUAUUUAUUUAAACCCCUGCUUUUUCUACUAUGACGUACCAAUAUGUCUACUGUGGGAAAAGGACAGAUGGAGCAACAUGAUUUCCAACAAUCUCUUGUUCUGCCUUCAUCUUAUGUUUGUUUUUAUUUACUUUUUGUUCACGUGCAAAAUGUAUGUUUUAGUGUACUAGUGGCACGUUUUCUCAGUGACACAAAGUAGUAACUGCACUGAUUAACGUGUGAGGAGGUGAUGUUUUCAAACCGCUUCAUAUCACUUGCAAUUAAAAAAAGUGAUUUAAUACUAAUACUAAAUCAGCAUACCCAAAUCUGUGUUGACUGCAUUAAGUCAAAAACAUAUCAACGGAAUUUAAAAGUGAAAAACUCACAUUGCAUUGCACCCACUAUCACAUAAGACUUGUUUGUGUCAGCUUGUUAUUAAUAUUUAUGGUAUAAUUGAAUAAAGGUUGCCUAAUCAGAGACCUACAUAGUGACUGGGUAGGUUACCAUGACCCAUAUCACACAGAUAGGAGUUCAGUCCCACUGAAGAUGGUAAUUUAGGAAAAAUAUAAGGUUUUUAUUGAUGACUGACGGAACAGUUCACCAAAAAACAUUUGGUUCAAUCAGAGUCUAACUACAUAGUCGUGUAGUUGUCCACCUGAACAAAAUAUAUACAAUAUUUAUAUAUUUUUUAUUUAGGCAAAUUAAGCAUGUACAAUGUACUAUACUGCCAUGACUGCAUGUGCAUACCAAAAAGAAGAAAAAAAAUGUAGUAUGAGAAAGAAAAUACAAAAAAAUCAGGUUUCAAUAUAAUGCUACCUGAUUUGACUUUUGAUUUCAUUUUGAUACAUGCAUUCACAUAUAUACUUUUUGCUUGCAUGUGUCAUUUGAGUGUCAGAGGUUAUUGGUUGCACUCUGAUAUUUAACAGGAGGUGGUUGAAUCUUAUCAAUCAACAACUAAAUCCUACAUAUUUCAAAUCAAGAAAAGAAUGACCACCUAAAUCUUUUUACUCUAUUGACAACCUGAGUUCGACUGCAGACGUUUUAUAGAGAUUUUGAAACAUUUUAAACUCAACAGUGGUGUUUAAAAAUUGUAUUUUGAUAUUAUUUUGCACAUUAACACAUUUGACACCUGUUCUAAUCUUAACGGAGAGCAUGUGAAUAUAAUGGAAAUGAGGAUUACAUGUAAAAAUAACCAUAUCGAGAUGGUAAACUGGAAUGUGUGGCUGUGGUAACAGAAAAUGGCGUGGGGAUUGUAUGGUUGAAGCGGAAAUGUGUCGGUAGUGUACUUGAUCAUUUAUUCGGUUGGAGCACUUUGAAUGUUAAAAAACAUAUAUGUUUAUUCUAUUAAAAAAAUACUGGACCACUAUUUAAUGUCAGUAUAACAUGUAAGAGCAUGUGAGCUUUGUUAAUCUCUGAAUGUCUUAUGAUGUUUUAACUGUUACAGGCCAGCUGAGUCAUGGACAGUGAUGUCUCCGUGCGACCUGUGAUGUCUCCAGCUGGCUCACUGUGUCAAAGUAGCUAUUGGAGUUAGUGGCCCCAAAUACGGUGGCUGGGAAAAAUCUUGGUUAAAAUAAACUGAGCACAUGUCUAUUUUUAGACCUGUUACAUGAAUUAGGGUAUUGCUAUGUUUUGUUUUUAUAAUGUAAUUUUAUAAUAUACGUUUAACCAAAUUGCAAGUGAUUUAGUGUGUGAUUUCCUGAUGUAUCAAAUGCAGAUUUUUUUUUUUAAAUGAGUGAGAGAAUUCUUGUAACUGAAGAUAGAAGUGUGGUUGGGAGGGCCCCAAUUCUGUCACGUUUGCCUGGGACACUUCUGUCUGUGUGUGUUCGUGCAUGCUUGAGUGGCGCAGGGUUUUUCGGAUUAUACCUACACGGCGAUGACACGCCAACAUUUGGGGAACAUUUUGGUGCAGCGUUCGCCGAGAAGGUUUUUGUCGGCAUUAUUAAGUUGUGUUCAUCACUGUAAAUAGUAGCUGCUCUAUUUUUCAAACAGAUACAAUAAAAAAUCAUGUACUAGACAGAUCUGUCAUUGUAUAUCACCUCUGAUUAUAAGUUUUGCCCUGAAUAGUUGCUCUUGUGUAACUUUUAAAUGUUAGUGGACACCAAACUAAUUCUUGCACUGUUCUGCCUCUAAAAAGCACCUGCCAUUACAUUAUGUAUUUUAAAUAAAGACCAUUUAGGAAAAUA